GAUGAACGCUAGCGGCAGGCCUAAUACAUGCAAGUCGAGGGAGAAUGUUGGAUUCGUCUGACAUGAAACCGGCGCACGGGUGCGUAACACGUAUGCAACCUACCUUUAACUGGGGUAUAGCUCAGAGAAAUCUGAAUUAAUCCCCCAUAAGACUACGACAUGGCAUCAUGAUGUAGUUAAAGCUCCGGCGGUUAAGGAUGGGCAUGCGGUACAUUAGCUAGUUGGUGAGGUAAUGGCUCACCAAGGCUACGAUGUAUAGGGGGUCUGAGAGGAUGAUCCCCCACACUGGUACUGAGACACGGACCAGACUCCUACGGGAGGCAGCAGUAGGGAAUAUUGGUCAAUGGACGCAAGUCUGAACCAGCCAUGCCGCGUGAAGGAUGAAGGCCCUAUGGGUCGUAAACUUCUUUUAUUAGGGAAGAAAAAACGGGAUGCGUCCUGUACUGACGGUACUUAAUGAAUAAGGAUCGGCUAACUUCGUGCCAGCCGCCGCCGUAA
rnacentral:rRNA from 1 species